GUACAGACUUCCAAGACAUAUGGACUGACAUUAGCCAUAAUGAUGGACAUCUGCUUACGAACAGAGUAAGGGAUGAGCUUGGACUAUGCAGAGUUCUGGGAAAUUUGCCAUAAUGAUGGACAUCUGCUCAUGGACAGCAUAACCCCUGCUGGACAUUGUGCCGGAAGCACCAGGGGGAGACCGUACCAGUAUCCCCCUCCUUUGGGUGCACCCUUCACUCACACCACACCACUCAUAUCGCAGAGAUCUGGCUGGGAUUGAACCAGCAACCUCUUAACCCAUGAGGCAGCACUCAUACCUGUGAGCCACAGAUCUCUCGUCUGGCCACAUGAGGGAACUUCUACUUCACUGUUCACCUGUAGUCCUGCAGAACUUCAUGUUCACAUGGGGAGCUAUCAAACGUGCCUUUCCUAACCAUUGCAGCUUUGCUAUAAAUGCUGUUUGAAUCUGUGAACAACCAUACGAAAUCAUUGCAUAACUGUCAACAUUAGACGAUAAAAAUCACUUUAAAUGAAAGUAAAAAAAUAAUACAUCUACCUUACCAAAAGAUAAAUCACUCAAAAACAGCCGUAUUUUAUUUGUUUGUAUUUUGGCCAUGUGGCUUCCAGUUCAAAAGAUCAGACAUUUUACCCAUCAUUAAAGAGUUAAUCUGAGUCCAUUAACUGAUAGAUUCCGUGUUUAUCUGCUGCUCGAGAUCCUGACAAAAUUAUAGAUUUAUUUUAACACGUAUAAAGCCACAAAUUUGUGUCCUCCCACCGCUUCUCCUCUUUCAGUUUGGCGUCUCGUUUAAUAAAUGUGCUACACUUACUGACCACAAGAGGGAGCCGCUGAUCACCUGUUUUCACCUGUCUUACAUUCAACGAGCUAAACAGGGAUUCUGCUUGAGUAUGUCAAUGUGAAAGUAAACUACACGUUUAAGUAAUGAGUUAGGGACCAAAGUUGAAGUCAUGUUCAGUCUACUGGCACUAUAACACGACUCGUCUGGUGGGAAGGUAACGUGCAGUUUGUCGUCCGCACCACUAGGGGCGCAAGCGGACUCUGCCUCCGGCGAACUGUGCAUCGUUGACAACAUGACACCUGACAGCAGUGUCAACAACAACUUCAAACCGUUUUAUAGCCAUGAAAGUGCAGAUUCUGCCCAUGACAGCUCAGUGACAGACUCUUAAUGUGACUCAACAGCACAUAUUUCAGGCCAGAAUGAAACAAAACCAUCAUAUACGGCGAUAAAGUGCAUGAAUCGAGGAUGUCACGCGACUCACCUAAUAAGGCAUGUGUUUGGACUAUAUAAAGGUCUCGGACAUGUGGACAUUCACCGCAAUGAUGGACAUCUGCUCAUGGACAGCAUAACCCCUGCUGGACAUUGUGCCGGAAGCACCAGGGGGAGACCGUACCAGUAUCCCCCUCCUUUGGGUGCACCCUUCACUCACACCACACCACUCAUAUCGCAGAGAUCUGGCUGGGAUUGAACCAGCAACCUCUAAACCCAUGAGGCAGCACUCAUACCUGUGAGCCACAGAUCUCUUGUCUGGACACAUGAGGGAACUUCUACUUGACUGUUCACCUGUAGGUGAGCUGUGAGUUUCAAGUAAAGUGUCAGAUAAAGGCUUUAAAGCUGUGGUGUAGUGAUUGUGUCCAACACACUGAGGUGGGAUUUGAACCCACAACUCCAAUGCAUCCAUGUGUGCAAUUAACGUGUGUCUAGCCACUAGCACCACUGUGGCUUUCACGACGUGUGCUGGUGUUUGAGGCACUUUGUUGGAUAUAAUGCAAUAUGUGAGAUUUUUAACAUAAGCUAUAGUGGGAUUUGAA